rnacentral:rRNA from 1 species
AUUGAACGCUGGCGGUAUGCUUAACACAUGCAAGUCGAACGGUAGCAGGCCUUCGGGCGCUGACGAGUGGCGGACGGGUGAGUAACGCGUAGGAAUCUGCCUCAUAGUGGGGGACAACGUGGGGAAACUCACGCUAAUACCGCAUACGCCCUACGGGGGAAAGCGGGGGCUCUUCGGACCUCGCGCUAUGAGAUGAGCCUGCGUUAGAUUAGCUAGUUGGUAGGGUAAAAGCCUACCAAGGCGACGAUCUAUAGCUGGUCUGAGAGGACGACCAGCCACACUGGGACUGGGACACGGCCCGGACUCCUGCGGGCGGCAGCAGUGGGGAAUAUUGGACAAUGGGCGCAAGCCUGAUCCAGCAAUACCGCGUGUGUGAAGAAGGCCCUAGGGUUGUAAAGCACUUUCAAUUGGGAGGAAAACCUGCCGGUCAAUACCCGGCAGCUUGACAUUACCUUUAGAAGAAGCACCGGCUAACUCCGUGCCAGCCGCCGCCGUAAAAC